GCCCAUUUGGAGCAGUGGUUAGCUCGUUCGUUUCCGGUCUGUAGUCUGGUCAGCGAGAGUGCAGGGGUUCGAAUCCCCUAAUGGGUU